CAAGUCGCACGAAGAAAAGGGGCAACCCUGAGUAGAGUGGCGCACGGGUGCGUAACACGUAGGCAAUCUUCCCUCAGGAGGGGGAUAACCGUCCGAAAGGAUGGCUAAUACCGCGUAAGACCACGGCUGCUUCGGCAGCUGCGGUCAAAGGGGGCCUCUCCAUGGAAGCUUCCACCUGAGGUCGAGCCUGCGGCCCAUCAGCUAGUUGGUAAGGUAAUGGCUUACCAAGGCUAAGACGGGUAGCUGGUCUGAGAGGAUGAUCAGCCACACUGGCACUGAAACACGGGCCAGACUCCUACGGGAGGCAGCAGUGGGGAAUAUUGGACAAUGGGCGAAAGCCUGAUCCAGCGACGCCGCGUGGGUGAUGAAGGCCUUCGGGUUGUAAAGCCCUGUGGGCAGGGAAGAAAACGGUUAGCGCUAAUAUCGCUAGCCCUUGACGGUACCUGCUCAGAAAGCACCGGCUAACUCUGUGCCAGCAGCCGCGGUAAGACAGAGGGUGCAAACGUUGCUCGGAAUUACUGGGCGUAAAGCGCGUGUAGGCGGGUCGGUAUGUCGGACGUGAAAUCCCUAGGCUCAACCUAGGAACUGCGCUCGAAACUGCCGGUCUUGAGUGGUGGAGAGGGAAGUGGAAUUCCUGGUGUAGAGGUGAAAUUCGUAGAUAUCAGGAGGAACACCAGUGGCGAAGGCGGCUUCCUGGACACCAACUGACGCUGAGACGCGAAAGCGUGGGGAGCAAACAGGAUUAGAUACCCUGGUAGUCCACGCUGUAAACGAUGGGCACUAGGUGUCGCGGGUUUUGACCCCCGCGGUGCCGUAGCAAACGCGUUAAGUGCCCCGCCUGGGGAGUAC
rnacentral:rRNA from 1 species